GAAAGAAAAAAGGAAGAAAAAGGAAAAAAAAAAAGAAAAAAAAAAAAAGAGAGAAGAAAAGAAAAAGAAAUAAAUAAAAGAGAAAGAACAGUACAGAUAAAAUAUUUUUAGAAUCUCGUUAUAACGACUCUCAUGUAUUUCGUUCUUAUAAAUCCGUUUAUGAGUGAUUUAAUUUAACAGCGUGAGUCUUUCGUGACGAAGCAACGUAUUUGAAUUUCUUAUGAGAAUGUAAACAAACAAAACGUGUACGUUGUUACGAGUACCAAUAUAUACAUACGUACCAUACAUAGAUAUCUGAAUAUCUAUAUAGAUAAGUUUACGUACACACCUAUUCGACCUUUCUCGUAAAUAUUCAUAUACCCACGUAUAACUUCGUCCUUUAUUUAGUCGAACGUGCGAAGGCUCUGGUAAAGGAUCAGUUCGUUUGUUUGCUCCGUGGAUGGCAGAAGCUUCAACGUUGCGUAAUCGGACCACCGUCGUGCGUUUUACGCAUAGAACGCGAUCUUACGUUCGUCGCGUAUAUUCACGAUAACUUGUCGUGUAUUACACUGAUAGAAGAGAACGAAAGAGAGAGAGAGAGAGAGAGAGUGAGUGAGUGAGAGAGAGAAAGAGAGAAGAGAAGAGCUUAGAUCGAGUCGAAGAAAAAUGAGGCCAUAUACUAACUCGUUACCCAUUUCCUACGAUCGUCGCGAGCUCGUUUUACGACUGACGUAAGAAAAUACUUGCGAGCUGUAUUUACGUGCUCGUACACUAUACAUGGGCAUUCUUCGUAGACGCUUAUACACGUACAGGAUGAUUCAUAUUACCAAGGAAAAGGACGAUCCUGAAUCAUGCUGUAGAUCGGUCGAUCAUCGUAUAUGGAUUCGCAUGCGUGCAAGCUAGAGGAUACCUAAGCGGGGAUUAUUCAUUAUUUUACGACAUGACCAACCUCGAAUAACCAACGUCGUCUCUUCUCUUCCUUUCCCUAUGCUUUUCCAUGGAUCUUGGUCUUUUCAAGUUUUUCAUUUCUAUAUAGGUAUGUCCUAUGUAAUACAACGGUGUAUGGCUUCGUGUUAUCGUCGUAGUUGCUAUAUCGCGUCGACAUUGACUAUAAAUAUUUCGGUAGCUAUGGUUACUUUAACUACGUUUAAGUGACUUCCUAUAAUUUAGAAAGGUAAAGGAUAGGAAAAAGUUUUGUUUUUAUAAUCGUGACAAAUACAUAAGGGGAUAGGAAUUCGAUACAAAAGGAAAAUAAUAAAAUACAAUUAUUUUUAA